GUUACAGUCGAAGACGAAGGAGGGUUCUCUUCACUUCCGUGUCCGGCGAGCUUUCCUCUGUGACAGAUUCCUUCCGUUUCGUCACCUCCACCUCAACUCGCCUUCGUCUGUCAUACAAAAAGAACCCUAAAUCCGAUUUCACUUUUGUCAAAAUCCACCUUUCAAUCUAAGAAAAUUGAACAUGGAUGUUUCAGACAAACCAAUGCUUCGAAGGGAGAUUGUGGUAGGUGAUAACAGUGUAACAGUAGGUUACUUCAACAAUCAAGCAAAAACCGAUGAGGUUUACAAGGUAGUUAAGCAGAGGCAGCUUCGUUUCAAGUAAUUACGUUGACAACAUUAUGGUACACACAGACCCAAUGAACAGCUGCUGUGUAGCUCUUGUUGUAGCAUCAUACGGAGCAUUAGAGAAAUGGGGCAGAGCAAGCAGGAGUUAAAUACAGCGACUUCUCUGAGCUAUGCGAGAAUGGUGAUGCAGUAAACGAGGUUCAACAAUCUCUUACCAAGGCGGCAAAGCUAGAAAAGUUUGAAAUUCCAGGAAAGAUAAAGUUAUUGCCGGAGCCGUGGACAUCAGAGUCGGGACUAGCCACAGCUGCUCUCAAGAUAAAGAGGGAGAAAAUAAAGGCCAAGUUCAAAGAUGAACUCCACAAGCUGUAAAAAGUCAUAUAUUACUUAUGAGUUGUGACAAACUUCAUAUACUUAGGGUUUUGACUUUACUUUUACUAAUAAAGUUUGAUCAAGAUGGGGUUGUUUUCUCCCCUUUUAAUACAAUAA